GCUGUCUGUGAUGUCAUUAAUCCCUUACCUACCUUGUUUGAGUAGUGACUCUGAAAAAAAAAAUCUGUCUGAGACAUGC